UGAAAAAUGGGGUUCGCAGCUGCAUAUUUGGCAAAAAGACAUUCUCCAACGUAUCAGCAACUGAAAGGACAGCAAAACUGCAGAAGUUAACAAUGUGGCAUCAGCAUUUUGUAACAAAUGAAACAGAAGCACAAAACCCUUUCUACAUUUACUAGAUUAUCUCACUUACUAGGCUACACAGAGCAUUCACACAAUUAAAAAUGCCAAUAUGCCAAGGCUACCCGGGGCAGGUCUGAGGCCUCCACCCAGACCGAGCCCAUGGGGGAGCCGGUGUCCCCCUACCUCCUGGCCUGUGGGGUAUCCCCAGCAGGGCCGGGGGGAGCAGAGAUUGGGGGCCCCCACACCUGUCCAGCAGGUGCCCGUCUUAGGGCCCUGGAGGCGCAGGUGAGGGAGCUCCAGGAGGAGGUUAGCAGGCUGAGGGGGAUCAGGGAGGCGGAGGAUGAAAUUGACAGUUAUUUCCUUUCCCUGCAGGCCCAGGCACCAAAGGAAGAAGCACCCCGGGGAAUACCCUCCACAGCAGAGUGGCAGACGGUCACAGCCAGGACCGGAGCGGCACGCAGAGAACCGGUACCAGCUUCUCCAGUCCGACUGGUGAACAGAUCAAGAGAUCCACGAUGACCCAGAGGAAGAGGCGACGAGUGCUCGUCAUAGGAGACUCCAUCCUGAGAGGUACAGAAGGACCCAUCUGUCGCCAGGACCCCUCGGCACGAGAGUGACCGGACGAGGAAGACGGCAGGAGAACUGCAUCAGAGAGACCAACUGGCGGCUUCGGCAGUGGUGUCUCGAGGCAGGCUUCGGCUUCCUGGACCAUGACCCGCACAUCACGACGAGGGACAUGCUCAGCUGGGAUGGGCUUCACCUGUCCCCCAAAGGUAAGCGUGUGUUUUCUUCUAGGUUGGCGGAUUUCCUCCGGCGGGCUUUAAACUAGGCUCGUCGGGGGGAGGGGAGUACGAGGGCAGGGGAAGCUGUGGACCACCAAACCAUGUGGCACCCACAAGGACAGCCCAGCCUGAAGAAGGAGAACAUUGGGAACCUGAAAGCCAUGGGGAGGCCAGCACAACAGAACAGGUAAGGAACAAGAAGGUAAGAAACAAUGGGCCCCAUGGGACUGGGAGCAGGGGGGCAGCAAAGGCGCCAGUCGCAGGGCUCAAGUGCCUAUAUACUAAUGCUAGGAGCAUGGGGAACAAGCAGGAUGAACUAGCGCUCCUGCUUGCACUAAACACCUAUGACUUAGUGGGGCUAACAGAGACCUG